UACGUAGGGUGCAAGCGUUGUCCGGAAUUAUUGGGCGUAAAGAGCUCGUAGGCGGUUUGUCGCGUCUGCUGUGAAAACCCGCAGCUCAACUGUGGGCUUGCAGCCGAUACGGGCAGGCUUGAGUUCGGUAGGGGAGACUGGAAUUCCUGGUGUAGCGGUGAAAUGCGCAGAUAUCAGGAGGAACACCGGUGGCGAAGGCGGGUCUCUGGGCCGAUACUGACGCUGAGGAGCGAAAGCGUGGGGAGCGAACAGG
rnacentral:rRNA from 1 species